ACAAUGGAGAGUUUGAUCCUGGCUCAGGAUGAACGCUGGCGGCAUACUUAACACAUGCAAGUCUUAGGAGAAAGCAACCUUCGGGAUGCAAGUAAACUGGCGAACGGGUGCGUAACGCGUAGACAACCUACCUUUUAGUCUGGAAUAACUUCGGGAAACCGUAGCUAAUACCGGAUAUAAUUACAAACUUCAUUUUUUGUAAUAAAAACGGGCUUCGGCUCGUGCUAAAAAAUGGGUCUGCGUCUGAUUAGCUAGUUGGUAAGGUAACGGCUUACCAAGGCAACGAUCAGUAGCUGGUCUGAGAGGGCAAUCAGCCACACUGGAACUGAGACACGGUCCAGACUCCUACGGGAGGCAGCAGUGGGGAAUA
rnacentral:rRNA from 1 species